ensembl:piRNA 21ur-12157 ncRNA
UGUUUGUUCCUACAACAAAAA